GGGCGCAAGCCUGAUGCAGCGACGCCGCGUGAGGGAUGGAAGCCUUCGGGUUGUAAACCUCUUUUGUUUGGGAGCAAGCCUUCGGGUGAGUGUACCUUUCGAAUAAGCGCCGGCUAACUACGUGCCAGCAGCCGCGGUAAUACGUAGGGCGCAAGCGUUAUCCGGAUUUAUUGGGCGUAAAGGGCUCGUAGGCGGCUCGUCGCGUCCGGUGUGAAAGUCCAUCGCUUAACGGUGGAUCUGCGCCGGGUACGGGCGGGCUGGAGUGCGGUAGGGGAGACUGGAAUUCCCGGUGUAACGGUGGAAUGUGUAGAUAUCGGGAAGAACACC
rnacentral:rRNA from 1 species